rnacentral:rRNA from 1 species
UCCUACGGGAGGCAGCAGUGGGGAAUAUUGCACAAUGGAGGAAACUCUGAUGCAGCGACGCCGCGUGAGUGAAGAAGUAUUUCGGUAUGUAGAGCUCUAUCAGCAGGAAAGAAAAUGACGGUACCUGACUAAGAAGCCCCGGCUAACUACGUGCCAGCAGCCGCGGUAAUACGUAGGGGGCAAGCGUUAUCCGGAUUUACUGGGUGUAAAGGGAGCGUAGACGGCGAAGCAAGUCUGAAGUGAAAGCUCGGGGCUCAACCCCGGAACUGCUUUGGAAACUGUUUUGCUGGAGUGCAGGAGAGGUAAGCGGAAUUCCUAGUGUAGCGGUGAAAUGCGUAGAUAUUAGGAGGAACACCAGAGGCGAAGGCGGCUUACUGGACUGUAACUGACGUUGAGGCUCGAAGGCGUGGGGAGCAAACAGGAUUAGAUACCCUGGUAGUCC